rnacentral:rRNA from 1 species
UACGUAGGGUGCGAGCGUUGUCCGGAAUUAUUGGGCGUAAAGAGCUUGUAGGCGGUUUGUCGCGUCUGCUGUGAAAAUCCGGGGCUCAACCCCGGACUUGCAGUGGGUACGGGCAGACUAGAGUGUGGUAGGGGAGACUGGAAUUCCUGGUGUAGCGGUGAAAUGCGCAGAUAUCAGGAGGAACACCCGUGGCGAAGGCGGCUCUCUGGGACGGUACUGACGCUGAGACGCGAAAGCGUGGGGAGCGAACAGG